GUAGGUGGCAAGCGUUGUCCGGAAUUAUUGGGCGUAAAGCGCGCGCAGGCGGUUCUUUAAGUCUGAUGUGAAAGCCCACGGCUCAACCGUGGAGGGUCACUGGAAACUGGAGAACUUGAGUACAGAAGAGGAAAGCGGAAUUCCACGUGUAGCGGUGAAAUGCGUAGAGAUGUGGAGGAACACCAGUGGCGAAGGCGGCUUUCUGGUCUGUAACUGACGCUGAGGCGCGAAAGCGUGGGGGGAGCAAACAGGAUUAGAUACCCUGGUAGUCCACGCCGUAAACGAUGAGUGCUAAGUGUUAGGGGGUUUCCGCCCCUUAGUGCUGCAGCUAACGCAUUAAGCACUCCGCCUGGGAGUACGGCCGCAAGGCUG
rnacentral:rRNA from 1 species